rnacentral:rRNA from 1 species
GAUGAACGCUGGCGGCGUGCCUAAAAAUUCCAAGCGGACGGACCGACGAGGAACUUGCUUCUCUGAUGUUAGCGGCGGACGGGGUAGUAACCCGUUGGUAACCUACCUAUAAGACUGGGGUAAAUUCGGGAAACCGGAGCUAAUACCGGAUGAUAUUUUUAACCGGAUGGGUUAAAAGUGAAAGGCGGUCUUUCUUGCACUUAUAGAUGGAUCCGCGCUGCAUUAGCUAGUUGGUAAGGUAACGGCUUACCAAGGCAACGAUGCAUAGCCGACCUGAGAGGGUGAUCGGCCACACUGGAACUGAGACACGGUCCAGACUCCUACGGGAGGCAGCAGUAGGGAAUCUUCCGCAAUGGGCGAAAGCCUGACGGAGCAACGCCGCGUGAGUGAUGAAGGUCUUCGGAUCGUAAAACUCUGUUAUUAGGGAAGAACAUAUGUGUAAGUAACUGUGCACAUCUUGACGGUACCUAAUCAGAAAGCCACGGCUAACUACGUG